CCUACGGGGGGCUGCAGUGGGGAAUAUUGGACAAUGGGGGCAACCCUGAUCCAGCCAUGCCGCGUGUGUGAAGAAGGCCCUCGGGUCGUAAAGCACUUUCAGUGAGGAAGAACGCCUGGUGGUUAAUACCCAUCAGGAAAGACAUCACUCACAGAAGAAGCACCGGCUAACUCCGUGCCAGCAGCCGCGGUAAUACGGAGGGUGCGAGCGUUAAUCGGAAUUACUGGGCGUAAAGCGCGCGUAGGUGGCUUGAUAAGCCGGUUGUGAAAGCCCCGGGCUCAACCUGGGGACGGCAUCCGGAACUGUCAAGCUAGAGUGCAGGAGAGGAAGGUAGAAUUCCCGGUGUAGCGGUGAAAUGCGUAGAGAUCGGGAGGAAUACCAGUGGCGAAGGCGGCCUUCUGGACUGACACUGACGCUGAGGUGCGAAAGCGUGGGUAGCAAACAGGAUUAGAUACCCUGGUAGUC
rnacentral:rRNA from 1 species